UUAGCGGGUUCCAGUAUAUGUUCAACCAAGCCUCUAUCUUUACCCCUCUCUAAGAUAUUAACAGUAGUGAUAGAGAAAAUUCUUUCAAGAGUGGUGUGCAACAAUAUAUUCAAGAAUAGAGACUUCACUGUACGCCGGUGAAAGGCUUCAAAUAUAGACAUAUACUCAGUACCCAGGGCCAUUAUCGUGCCAACACCUACCGUGACACCCGACUUACGCUUUCAAAGUCAUAUCCGAAAGACCUGUAACUUUCACUUCUAAUGCUGAGCGCUUGGCGAAGGAACAGUCACUACCUAUGAUUACGCCUUAAGUUUGACGCGGCGCCGCGAAGGAGAAUCAAACCCCGACCUUCCGGAUACAAAGUAAACGUUCUACCACCAGGCUACCGUGACCGGUAGAGACAUUUGAUAUAGAAUAAGAUCACAAAAUUUCGGAAGACUAAGUAUGGAAAUUGACAUUUUCAUACCCGAUGUACUCGUAUCAAGCGUUAAACAAUAAUAAAAUGUAUAUUUUCUUUUCAUAGAAGUAGCCAAUUCAAAAGAAUCAAGUAUAGGAGGAAUAAUAGGUGGCACCUUCGGGGGAGUUAUUUUGAUAAUACUUAUCGUCUUGAUAUUUCUCAACAGAAAAUAUCAGAUAAAAUGUCAUGAAAGAAAGCCAAAGCCAAGUGGGGAGAACAUUAAAGCAUCAGAUAGUCUCUCAAGAUUACCGGCGCCCAGUAUGAAGAGCUAAAUCAGAAUAAACGUGAACAGGAAAACAGUUAUGAUGCUAUUCAAACACCAAACAAAAACAGAAUUUCCGGCGCCCAGUAUGAAGAGCUAAAUCAGAAUAUACGUGAACAGGAAAACAGUUAUGAUGCUAUUCAAACACCAAACAAAAACAGAAUUUCCGGUUCAACAUAUGAAGAUUUGCAACCUCAGAAAGAAGAAAACAAGUAUGAAAAAUUUACAAGUCAUAAAGGUGGAAAAGACAGUGUAUAUGCGAAUUCGAAGAUGCUAUCCCAAGGAAAUGUAUAUGUGAAUAC